AGAUGUUCAGACUGUAGGGCUUCUCAUCACAAAAAAUACCGCAGAUUUGAAUUUUGCCGCCUUACAGCACCCGGCUUUCCGGCGGGAGCCGGAAAAAGCCGAAGAAGCGUCCGAAGGAACGUUGCGUUUUGAGCGGGAAUCCAUUACUGUUUAGGAAAACUAGGUUAGAAUCUGUCUAGCCAAAAACAAUUUGGUUCCUAUUCUCUGACUUCAUGCCCGGUUCCGAUACUAUUCUCAAAAUUUGUGUAUUUAACAAUUAUUUUUUGCAGUUAGUCUUAGCACUUCAAACAUUCCACCCUCAACUGUAUGUGAAUUAUCCCUGUGUCUGGUUCCUGAGGCCUACUUUGACCUAGUGUUUCCUUCAAUGUUUGUUUCCACUUAUAACUUUAGUUUCGGGACCUUGAUGUUAUUUUCACUUUCUUUUCACGCUUUAUCACGUCAUUUUUUAUUGGAAUGUUCUCUGUCAGCACCACUACUACAACAUUUUCCUGACGAACUCUUCUUCAAUGUGAUGCGCCGUUCGGUCACUGGAUGGGCAAAUUAGUGCUUCGAAGAGCUUUUUAUCGUGUUCUUAGUUUCCCCUAAAUUGCAGAUGCAAUGUCAAAAACGAUGACGAAAACACCUGUUGUCACUCGUCCAAGCAAGAGAUCUUAUGUCAUCCACGAUCUGUUCGAGGAGGAUGGAGAAGAGCCGCUUGCCAAUGAUGACGAAAAAGAGAACUGGAGUAUAGGCGCCGUCUGGCAGCGGAAGAAGAAGCCGAAAGGAAAAAGUCGAGCGCUGGUUUCGAAGAUGGGAGACGGUCUUUUGGAGGGCACCUACCUGCCCUGACAGCUCAGCAACUCUCAGAACACUACAACAAUUGUUUACAGUUGUUCAAUGAAAAUGUAAGAUUUUGAAGCACCGCAAUAACUCUUUUCAAUCUCAAUUAUCUGGAACAAACUUAUCAGCAAUUAGAUAAGUUUUUAGACAAGCAGAAACGAGUCAACUAAAGAGCAUGUAAUGUGUUUGAAAGAGUUAGAAGAUUUAGUCUAUUAGUCGGCAUUUCUAUUUAUUUACUAAUUGAGAGGCUAGACAAACAGGGUCACGGCCCUAGUCAGAAGGUAGAAGAAGAAGAAGAAGAGUCGGCAUUCUAAGUGCUUUAUAGGUAAUUCUGUCAUUGUUAUCACCAGAGACAAGAGACCCUCCACUGGCCUCUUGGCGACAGGUGGAAGCUUUUACUUUCGGGGUUUCAACAAUUCCUUAUGGACAAUUAUUAGGGAACAACAGUCAUCACCCUAAUUUCGGCUGUUGACCUACCUACAUGGUCGAUGAUGAGCUUCGGGUGACGUCAUGAGCCAAACAAGUUUCCCAAACGUCGGCCAUUUUCGGGUUGUUUGCAAAACGAAACUGCCAACAAGUUGUUCAACAUCAACCAUGUAGGUAAGUCAACAGUAGAAUGCUGAAGUCCCGAAAGUAAAGCUUCCACAAUGGCCAAGAUACUAGUGGAGGGUCUCUUGUCUCUGGUUAUCACAUAAGAACAGAAUUCAAAACUCAAAGAAAAAAAAAAUAUAUAAUCUACAGUCCACGGCCAGAGAAGUUGCGGCUGAGGGGCAGAAACAAGUGAGCAGUUCAAUCCAUUGUUUAAGAGUUGUUGGCUGAAGCAAACUCAGGUCCUUUGAUCCUGGUAAUAUACCUACGUUUUAAUCCUUAAACAAUAGAUCGAGACGCUUACUUAAUCUGCCCCCCAGCCGCCACUUUUCUCGGCGUAGACUGUGUGGGAGUGAACAAGGGACUGUAGGUACUUCUUGAAGAGAUGGAGGAGGACCUGAUAAUGAGGAGAAGAAUUAGCAAAACUAGAAAAAGUACCUGAAUCAUUUGUAAACAGCCCCUUAGAGUUAAAAAUACUCUAUUGUAGUAUGUGGUGAGAAGAAUAAA
rnacentral:lncRNA from 1 species